CUUCUGAAGAUGAUAGAGCACAGGACACUUAAGGGCUGGGAACAGAAAUGCUCUAAUAAAGAAAGUUGAAGACUUUUAUAAAGUUUUGAAUCGAGAAAUCAUGAUACAAAAAGAUGUUGGUCAGAACCUGCAAUACUUUUUCAUUUAUUUUAAAGGGAAACUGAGUUGUAAGAAGUAGCUUAUUGAGUACCAUAGUCUGAUGCUCCUUGCAAGACAAAAAUUGGAACAGUUCUAUACACAACAGAGAUGAUACUGCAUGAGGAAACAAUCGGUGGUUGAUAAUAGAUGUGGCGAUUCCCACAAUGAGUAUUAGUGGAAAUUCAUGCAGAUGUUGACUGCUGAUAAUUAUGAAAUCUUGCAGUACUUUUGUGGCAAAGCUUUCCAUAUCCUUUAAGGUAGCCAAAACAGGAGGAGACUGCCAUUGGCUAGAAGUAGUCCUCUUUUUGCUUGGCAUUUUUGGGUCUGUCUUCUGUGUGACAGUCAUGUACCAACUGGAAAGUGAAUCCAUUAAAUAAUGUGUAUUUCUCUGGGUGACCUGAACGCUUUCCCCCUCUUUGGAUUUUAGAUGUACACAGCAGUUCAUUAAUUAUGAGACCAAAUUUUGCAAAAAAUGUUUCAUAUCUGGACAGUCUUUAGCUUGCGAUGAGACUACAUAUGGUGUGACUUUAUUCUGAAGGGCCUCUGUUAGACUUCUGAAUGUUAAAUCAUGAUCUGUGACUUUCACACCAAGAACAAGAGCAGCAGUUGGAAUUUCUCUGAGUUUUGUUUGACAGCCCAAGUCUCUUGAAUUCUUCUGGAAUCCAGAAUGAGAUUUUUGCAGAAAUUCAGUUAGAUUGUCAAACAAGUUUUUAUUUAAUUCCUCUUGUAGUGGCUCAUUUUCAGAUUUCAUUUGCUGCCAUAUCAACUAAGUUCCAAAUUGAAGCUUACUGUCCUUAGGCUCAUUUUUCCCUUUGUUAAAAUAGUCCUCCAUUGGCACAGAGAUCUUUCUCUUUUUGGAGUUUGGCUUAAAAACAAAGCAGCCCUUAGACACUGAGGAGGUGGCCAUGGUCUUACUGGCUCU
rnacentral:lncRNA from 1 species